rnacentral:rRNA from 1 species
ACACAGUGCCGCGUCUAAUACAUGCAAGUCGAGCGGACCUUUUAAAGCUUGCUUUUGAAAGGUCAGCGGCGGACGGGUGAGUAACACGUGGGCAACCUGCCUGUAAGACUGGGAUAACUUCGGGAAACCGGAGCUAAUACCGGAUAAUAUAAGGAACCUCCUGGUUCUUUAUUGAAAGAUGGUUUCGGCUAUCACUUACAGAUGGGCCCGCGGCGCAUUAGCUAGUUGGUGAGGUAAUGGCUCACCAAGGCGACGAUGCGUAGCCGACCUGAGAGGGUGAUCGGCCACACUGGGACUGAGACACGGCCCAGACUCCUACGGGAGGCAGCAGUAGGGAAUCUUCCACAAUGGACGAAAGUCUGAUGGAGCAACGCCGCGUGAGCGAUGAAGGCCUUCGGGUCGUAAAGCUCUGUUGUUAGGGAAGAACAAGUGCGAGAGUAACUGCUCGCACCUUGACGGUACCUAACCAGAAAGCCACGGCUAACUACGUGCCAGCAGCCGCGGUAAUACGUAGGUGGCAAGCGUUGUCCGGAAUUAUUGGGCGUAAAGCGCGCGCAGGUGGUCCUUUAAGUCUGAUGUGAAAGCCCACGGCUCACCCGUGGAGGGUCAUUGGAAACUGGGGGACUUGAGUGCAGAAGAGGAAAGUGGAAUUCCAAGUGUAGCGGUGAAAUGCGUAGAGAUUUGGAGGAACACCAGUGGCGAAAGCGACUUUCUGGUCUGUAACUGACACUGAGCGCGAAAGCGUGGGGAGCAAACAGGAUUAGAUACCCUGGUAGUCCACGCCGUAACGAUGAGUGCUAGUGUUAGAGGGUUUCCGCCCUUUAGUGCUGCAGCUACGCAUAGCACUCGCCUGGGGAGUACGUCGCAGACUGAAACUCAAGAAUUGACGGGGCCGCACAAGCGGUGGAGCAUGUGUUUAUCGAAGCACGCGAGAACUUAACAGUCUGACAUCUCUGAACUCUAAGGAUAGACGUUCCCUUCGGGGAAGAUGACAGUGGUGCAUGUUGUCCUCACUCUGUCUGGAAGUUGGUAAGUCCCGCACAGCCACCUGAUCUAUGCAGCAUCAUGGGCAGUCUAAGUGACUUGCGUGACAACCGAGAAGGUGGGAGUAGACUCAAUCAUCAUGCCCUUAGACCUGGCUACAACUGUCUCAAUUGACGGUCAAGGACCACCAGUGAGCAUCUAAACGCUCAUCUGAGGGUAAUGCCGUGAACGAACAUGUAUCGGAGUCAUAG